rnacentral:lncRNA from 1 species
UACUUACAAAGCCACCAAAUUUGGACGAAAUUGGGGAACCUCUGAAAUCAUUAAAAGAGAGGUCUAGCCUCUUGAGAUGGCCGAGAGAGAAUAAGCUGCUAUUGGAAUGGAUAUUGCCUUGAAGCCCACCAUAACCGAGGUUGAGACCGAUCACAUGACCAGUCAUCUUUUCACAAGUGACUCCACUCCAUGCGCAACAAUCCUUGCCUUUCUGCCAAGAAAUUGCCAAAUUAGAAUAGGAGUAAAGAGAAAAGGAGUUUUUGAAUUGAAGCAAAGCAGAGUUGUCUUCGGGAUGGCAUAAAUGCUUUGAAGAAAGAGAAGAGGAAGAGUUUGAUGAUGAACAAGUAGUAGAGAGCAGGAAGAGGAGGCACAACCAUGACAACCAACCCAUCUUUCUUUAAAAAUCUAAAGUAUAUAGUGAUUGUGAGCAAUUCUAUACUGGAUAUGUUGAUAUUUAUAACAAGCUUAAUGAAUAGUAAUUUAUCAUCUUUAAAGAUAAUCAAGUAUCAUUGUGCCCAUUGUAAUGAUUGGGUGUCCUCUUCACAUAGUUGGUCCUAUUGUCACACCGGUGUAGGUCCCAAUUUGAAGUGCUGAUAAUUGACAUUGAGGGUGAAGGCCUUUUUUUUUUUUUUUUUGGUAAUAUGUUCAUGGAAUUGGAAAAAAUUUGCACCAAGUCUUUGAUUUGUGGCCGGUUUUGGUGAAGUUUGACAAUAAGGUUGUCCCAUUGUCACACAGGUGUAGGUCCCAUUGUUAGCUGCUACAUCAAUUUGAAUUGUUGAUAAUUGACAUUAUUGAGGAUGAAGGCCUAGUCUAUUCAUCUAUUUGGAAAAUUUUUGCCCUAAGUCUUCGAUAUUUGGUUGUUUUUCGUCUUAGUAUGUAACAUUUUUGCGUGUUAAAAUGGGCACCUUAAUUUUCAUUGACUUGCUAAUCUGGGUUUAUAAUUGACCAUCAAAAUCGUUCUUGUCUUCACUAGUAGUCACUAGUGACUUUUGCCCCCUUCUUCACGCUCUCACUAAUUCUUAUCAUCUGCUUCUCCAUGGUUUUGCUUGUCUUUUCACAUAGUUGGGUGUCCUGCAACAUGUACUAAUCAAGUGGUCCAAAUAUGAUUCGAAUUUGCGUAUUGAAGAAGCCGGACCGAGUAUUCAUAAAUCGACCAUCAAAAUCGUUCUUGACUUUUGCCCCUUUAUUCACGCUCUCAUUAAUUCUUCAUGAUUUUACUUGUCUUUGCACUUUCUGUCUCCACUCUUAAGCAUUUGAUAGGCCUUAGGCCUUUAGUCCAAUCUCUAAAUGAACAUUCAGAACAAAUUCAUAAACAAAAAUUUCUUUUAAAUUUUCAUUUAUGAAAAUCCAUUAUAUUCCUCUAGGGCUAAAGAAAAGAAAGGAGUUAAUAAAUAAAGUCAUCAAUAUAAAAAUUAAAACAAUCUUUUAGAUAAAAUCUAAAUAAUAUAGUAAUUAAAUCCUAUAUAAAGCUAGCUACUACAACCUCUCGGCCACAGUUUCUUUGAAUCUUACUCAAUCUUUCACAUUUUCUUUGAUGGUCUCUCUCACAUUAACAUGCUAGAGUUUCUUGUGCCUUUCAUUCAUCAGCUGCCAAAUUCCUAAACAUGUAUAAUUACUAACUUCGAAGAAGAAAUUACAGCACUAAAACAUGUUAAUGUUACAUUAAUUUCAUUACCUCAUUGAACGUUUCCGCAACGUUGUUUGCCAUGAGGUAUGGACCCUACAAGUUGGUUUUCCGCAACGUUAAAUUUUCAGGUGUUGUCAAAUCUGUCAAUUGCCCAGAAAUCUCACCAACAAGCAUGUUUGAAGAGAGAUCUAACCAUUCAAGAUUGCUAAGAUUGCCGAAUGAGGGUGGAAUUGGACCUGUAAGAUCAUUAUGAGACAAGUUAAGUCCCUUCAAUGACGUUUUAGGAAGGUCCAGAGAAAGUUGUUCUACUUCUUUUUGGAUUCGAGUAUUUAUUAACCUUAGUUGUAUAGUUAGGAGUUCAUUAUUAAAGAAAUAUAUACAACAAUUAAUUUGUGUAAGUACCAUGUAAUUUGAAUUUGGAAAGAGUUGGCAAAGCCUACAGCAUAAGAGGAGCAAGGGAAAACAUGAGUCUCAAUAUGGUGACCUCAAAGUAAUCUUCAUUUUAACAUGAGUCUCAAUAUGUCGGCAGACAUUAUACUUGGUGCGUUGGUGAUUGAAUAAUGUUUUGCAUAUUAUUCUUUCUCUUCUUUGGCUAUUUAAUCAGGCAAGUAGGGCAUGAGAAAAGGUGGAACAACUUCAACGUUAUUACUUCCACAUGAAGUGUUUAUCACUCUAGCGUGGGAUUGGGGCAGGGGAGAAAGGGGUAGAGAGAGAUGUCUCUUUUUUCUCUCUUUUAUUUUCUUAAAAAUGAAAAGACUAAAAUACCCUUUAAAAUGGAUGAAAAAUUGAAUUUUGUAAAAUAAAGGUGACAUUUCUCUUAAAUUUUUCUUUAAGAUGACAAAUUGAAACUGAGGUACAAGUUCAGAUGACAUUUCUACAAAAAAAAUCACUAAUGCUAAUCACUAUUAAGAAUUGUGCAAUCACAAAAUAAUUUAAGAAUCAUCUAUUAUAUACAUCAAUUAACAAUUAUAAAAUAGAACUAAUGCUUAUUUACUGUAGUGCCCCCUGAAGCAUAUACGAAGCCAUGUUUGGGGCUUGGAUAAGAAAUAACUUCUGCUAAAAUAAAUAAAUAAUAAUAAUAAAUAAAAAAACCCAAUAGCGAACUCCCACCCACACCCAAUCCGUCAACAACCCCACCCUGAUCACAUAGCCCCCUCUUCUGCUCGUCGUCGGAAACUCUCUUUCUCCCCCUUGAUUUUAGAUCAAGAUCUAUAUUCUUCCCCUGCUCUUCUUCUUUGAAAGAGAGGGAGAUCGAGAAGGAAGCAGAGAAAUCAAGGGAGAGAGAGAGAGGAAGAGACAAAGAAGGGGGACAGAGGUAGAGAAAAGGAGGCUUUGCCGGCGGUGAGAAUGAGAGGGGUUUGCUGUUGGCUCGAUAGGGUGGGUGGGAGUUUUGGUGGCCGUCUGGUUUGGGGUGGUGGGAGGGAGUUUGCUCAUGGGUCUUUAUUUUUUUUCCUUCGGUUAUUUUUAAUUAUUAGAAUAUUGUUAUAAAAAUAACCUGGAAUAUGUAUGAAUAUUGAGCUGCACGUAAAGUAGAUGAGACACAGCAUUUAACGAGGUUCGGCUAUGCCUACGUCCUCGGAGAGCAGCAGCAGUAACUUUUUCACUAUAUAAAAUAAUAGGGCUACAACUUUAGAGUUUACAAUAUGUGUGGCUCACUAAUUUUUCUCUCUUGGAGAAAUUUCUCUCCACUCUAUUUUUCUCUCUACUUACUCACCCUCUUUCUUUCCUUCUCUUCCUUUCUUUCUUUCCUCACUCAUUCUUCUCUUCAUUUUGGUGUGUAUUACAAGUGAAUGAGCAAGCCUAUUUAUAGGCUAAGGUUUUGGUAAAAUACAGGGAAGGGAAGGUUCCUGGAAGAUGCAAGGAAACUUCCUGAAUUGAUAAAUACAGGGAAGGAAAGUUCCUGGAAGAUGCAAGGAAACUUCCUCUGUGGGCUCCACCUUCAAACUUUUACAACAAAUAUUUAAUUAUAUGUUUUAUCUAUGGAGUCAACUUACCAUGUCACCCACUCAAUUAGUUUAAUAAUUUAUGUGUAUAAAAUUACAAAAACACUCAUGCCACGUCAUCAGAUUUAACAGAGUUUUGAAUAGAGUUAGCGGCAGGGCAAAGUAGGUCACCAGACUUUGGUCAAAGGAUAAAAGUGGGUCAUUUUAACUUUAAAGAGGUAAAGUGAAAUUUGACCAAAGUUUUAAGGGACGAUACAGUAAAUAAGCCUUUAUUUUACCUCCGCCUUUACAAUCUUUCUUCUCAUGCGCUUCUGUACGGCUUUGGUUAUCUUUCCACUAUCUGCCCCUACCCUUGAGCAUUUGGUAGGCCUUAGUCCUUUAGUCCAAUCUGUAAACGAACUUUCAGAGAAAAUUCAUAAACGAAAAACAUAAAGAAAAAAAAGAAGGUACCAACUUUUCUUUGUAGUAAAAGAUGGAACAACUGCAACAUUAUGAAUGGCAAUAAAAAAGAAGGUAAAGGGUAUUCGAUCGAUUCACCAGAUUCCAUUUGAUCCAUAAAAUGAUGGGAAACCUGCUACAACAGUACUUUUCUAUGUUUCUUCUUUUUGUUUUUUGUUGGUACAGUACAACGUUUCCCAGACUACAUAGAAUCACAACAUUGGCCUUUUAAUAAUCCAACGUUACUUAUACUUACUUGACGGACCAUGAAACAAUAAGUGAAUACAAAGGUAUUACACUGCAAUGAAAUUGGGACUAUAUCUAUGUUAUCUGUAUUCUUGAAAGUUGACAUGCCCUGCGCUCGUGCAUGCUCCACAGCCUCAUGGUAUUAGGGCAUAAUUUUGGUAUACCUGAGCUAUACGAGUAGUAGGAGCACAAAAUGGAACCAAGAGCGACGAAACACAUAUUACCUCAAGCAUUUUGAUAACAUAGUAGGCAAAACAUGGGAAAAAAGUUCAAACAAAAUUAAUCUUUUUAUCCCCUUUUUUUCUAUUGGAUAGGCAUUGAUUGAAAACUUUACAUACAGACUAAACACAUUAGAAAUGUCCUAUAGUUCUCAAUCAUCUCAAGUCGAGAACAAAUUUAUUUUGAAAUUCAUACACCAGAUUUUGCAUGCACGGAGUAAUAAGCGUGCACUGUUAGUACUAUUCAGGUUCAACAACUAGGAUGCCCUCAGUACAUAGAGAUCUGGAAAAAAAUUUCAAGACAGUGUACUAGAACUUAAAAAUAUAUUGUCUCUUCAACUUGUAUAGGUUUGUAAACUAGGUUGGUCGAUGUAUAGUGAACUAGAAAACUUCUGCACACUGAACUACAUGUUUAGAGUGGAAGUAUCAGAAAUAAUCCCCUAAAUCACAUGCUCUGUAUUUUUAUCAUCUCAACAUGCUAAUUCCAGACUAAAAGCCCAAGGAACAUUUAAUGUUUUCACAUAUUAUGUGUAGUAGUGUUUGUAUGUGCACUAUGGAUAGAAGCCACCAUGAAACCAUAAGCACUACCUUUGUUCCUUUUUCACAAGAUUAAGAGCGAGCCCCUCAACCGGCCCAAUGGCACUGUCCUUAACUGCAAAUAUAGUCUGAUCAAACUCCUCUGGAGCUCCUCAAAGGGUGACAUCUGAGACAAUAUGAUGCAGAAACCAAUGACCAUUAACUGGGAAAAUUGAACCUCAAUCAGAAACAGAGGAGAGCAAAUGUCCAGAAAUAAAAUAGCUUAAAUAUCAGUAACUAUCUUUGUUUUAACAUAUAUUGAAAAUUAAUUCACAUCAAUUAUAAAUCAUGAAAAAGUACAACUCGAAAAGAGCAAAAGCCAAGACCUACGAGGCAAAGUCUCUCAGCACAUAGGUAAAGAGAGCAUGGGAAAAAGGAAAGAUUCAAUAGCCAUUGAGCAGUCUGUGUUGUUGUGAAAGAGAUUAACAUUAGAUUUGUUAGGGAGAUACAGAGGUGUGGCUCUCAGGCGAUUUGAGUCCUAUGUGCUUACAUGUUUGGCGUUAAAAACUCAAAAAACAUAGGAGAACUUGGUUGGGUGUUGAAAAUUGGGAUUUAUUUAAGGGCAUUUUGGAAAAACAAGGAAACCACAUAUUUCCAAAAAAUUGGCCCUACUUGAGGCCAUAGUGAAGCCACUUCUUAAUUAUCCGUCCACACUGAUAACCAGUAAAAUUCAUAAACAGAAAAUUAACAUAAAUCAUCAGAACCACAUACAGCUAAAGCAUCGUAAUGAAGCCCAUCAUAGAUCAGCAGAGCUCUUGUCAAAAGUACCCCAUACGAAAAUGGGCAUAAACAUUCUGAAAUGGAACUGACAAGAUUAAUAUACAUGAGAACUCACUACUAAUGCUAUUUCUUGAACAGUCAAUCUUAUAGACAAGUGGCUACACAAACUAUUUCUUGAACAGUAAAGGUGCAAAAAGUUUGUCAAAUAUAUCAACAAUGUGCAAUACUGUCAAAGAAGACAUAAGUCAGUAUUGUAUAAUUAAGGUUCGGAUACUUAGUUGGCUAUCAGAAAUAACCAAAAUUUUCACAAGAAAAGCUUUUCAUUGUGCAUUUUGUUUCAUAACCAAUAUUCAUAUACGUAGGAAAAGGAAAGUUUAUUUAUUUUUAACAAACCUCCCCACUUCUCAGAGUCAAGAAUCCAAGAACAAUACUCUUCAUUUGGUUUACCGAGAAAUGCUUCAGAAUACUUAGUUGGAUCACUUGCUACUGUUGCUGCUAUAACCUUCACAUCAUGGAUGACCACAAAAUGAUCAGGAAGUAAGUAUCGCACUUAUGCAUGCUUAAUACAAACAUGGAGCUAUAUAUGCACAAAAACUGACCUUAAAUGACUGGUGUACUUAUAAUCCCUGAAUGUCCAUAUACCUGUCUCAACUCAGGAGCUUUUUUCUUGUCAUGGUCGAUAGCAUACCUACAAAUGAAGGGUGACUAUUGAAUAGAAAAAUUGGCCUUAAAUGACGCAGCUCAGUUCAUUGCAAUAGACAAUGGAUAGAAUAGAAGGUUGUAUUGGAGCUUACCCAACCGCAUUGAAGAGGCAACUAUUGUCUGAGGGAAUAGCCCUUCUUACUACAAUACCUUCCAUAUUAUAAAUAUUUAUACCUGAAACAUUUUAACAAUUUGAAUGUUUCAAACGAUGAUGGUUUUAUAAUAGACAAGCACAAGCCAAAGAGCUGAGAGAAGGAAACACAUGAAUAUUUAAUUCAAAAAUAUGGACCCAAAAAGCAUUGAACUGCAUAGAAGUGGUUUGUGUGAAGAAGGAACCUUUUGUGAUUACAAUGGAAAGGAGAACAAAGAUUAUUAAGAUACAAAAAAAGAUAGGAGUCCAAUCAAAAGUAAACAUCUACAGAUAAAGAAAAGAAUUACACAUAAAAACUUCCUUAAGACUGAAUCCUAAAGUUACAGAAGUAUGAGACAAUACGAAAAGAAGGCUGAGGACUCAAACAAAACCCAACAUCACAGACUCAGCAGCAGAGCCAAAUACCAACCAGAACCAGAUUCAGUUACUGGUAGCAGCAGGCCAUGAUUGAAAACAUUCAAAGAAAAGGAACAAAUAUAAUAUAGUGUACAGAAAUGAAAUUUUACAAAUUUUUAUCAGGAAUGAAUCUGAAAUUAAUGAAAAAAAAAGGAACUUUAAAGAAUCCGUACUCUUAUCAGUUCUUUAAGGUGCCAAUAAAUGAACCUAAUAUGUCAAAAGCCUACCCAGAAAACCACCCAGUAAUGUGCACCCAUAAACAAAACACAUUAUCGAAAUAAAUCCUCAAAUAAUUCCACAAAGGAAACCAAACUUCAGACUUAGAAACCCAAUACCAAAGCUAUAAAACAAACCCAGAGCUGAAUUUGAAACCACCCAAAAGCAUAAAUUGAAAAAGAUGACAAAUAAAUAAUGUGGCAAUGAAAUUUCCAGAUCCAGUAAAAGUAUUCGUACCACGAGCAGCAUAUUCAAAUAGACAUGAUACAAUUUGGAAGAGAAGAGGAAAACAGAUAAGAAAAAGAACUCACUCUGUUUCUUCCUUUAUGGUCUAUAAGGUAAUGUUAGUUGAGCAAAAACUUUGACGAGGAGGUGGUGGUCGCCUGCCUGGUUUUGGCUAUCGCUUCUGUGUUUGGAUGUCGUCUUCCUUUUCUUUUUUUUCCCUUCUUUUUAUCAUUGGGGAGGGUGGAGUUACAAGUUCAAGCAUUAAUGUGGGGUCCAUGGUCUAUCUUGUGUUACGGCUUUCUGCAACUUUCUCUGUUACACUCGAUCCUCUCGGCAGUGUCUUUCACCCAAUCAUUCUAUUUACGAUAACGUAUCAUGUUAUGGGUGAUUAGAUUAUUACAAUGACUAAAAUUAAGUAAAAUACGAGAAAAUGUGUAGAUUACGUUAGAUUAUUAUUAUGACUAAAAUUAAGCGAAAUACAAGAAAAUAAAUAGAUUAUAAAUAUAGAGGAUCGGGAUCAAUGUCACAUUGGUUCUUCUGUUUGACCUCUUUGGAAAAUUUAGUUCGUGUUUUUCAAUUUACUUAUUGUAUUUAUAGUUUUUUUUUAUUGAUUUAAAAAAUAUUCAUUAACCUGUAAUAGAAAAGUUAACAGAAAAUUAUAAAAUAAAAAAAGAACAUAAUUAAUUAAAAAGUAUUAAAAAGUAAAAGGGAGUGUAAGUAGAGAGAAAAUGAGUGGGAAAAUCAACUCCCAAUAUAUACAACUAAUAAAAUACUUUUGACAUUUUACCCCAUACCCAGUACAAAUAUACAUUUAAUUAAGAGUGCUGCUAUUUUCACCAUUUUUUUCUAUUUCCUUAGAAAUUAUUGUAAAAUUUCUCCAAUUUCCCCACCCACAUCACCUUUCCACCCACCAUGUAACUUUGAAAAAAUACAAUCUUAUAUUUCCACCCACCAUUAUUCCUAAAAUACCUUUUAAUUAUUAAUUCAAACAAAUUCUCUUUCAUUUGAUUUUUCUCAUAAUUAAAACAUGGGAGUUAUAUUUUCUUUACGUUCUAUUCUUUUGAUUGAUUUUUCUUGUGUGUUUUGUCACUGUAGAGUGAAUUUUUUUUUUUCCUGUAUUCAUUUAACUGUCGAAUAAUUUUUUUAGUGGUUGGGUUUGUUUAAGUUGAGUUUGAUUAUAGGUUUAAAUGAUGCAAAAUCAAAAUAACUUGUUACAAUAAUAGGUACAUGUGUGAACCGAAGUGUCUAUGGUUGUUCUAUAUUGUCUUGUUCAUAUUUGCGGGAUUGAACAUUAGGGAUUGCCAAGAACUGUUAAUCAUAUGGGAAAGAGAAGAAAUACUUUUUUAUUGGGAAAAGACAUGGCUUCAUUAAUAUGAAAAAAAGAGCUGCAGUUGGUCUGUUAAGGAAUUUUUUUUUUCUUUUUAAAUUCUUAUGAAAUUGAGUUUUUAUAGCCUUAACUCUUAAAAAGUCACUUUACAAAGGGGUAAAUUUGUUUAUAAAAUUUUAAAGAUAAAGUAAGUGGGGAAAUAAGACAACAGAUGGAAAUAACAUCACUCCUAAUUAAUAGAACUAAUAUGUUAAUUCAAUAAUCAUUCAUAUAAAAUUAAUUAAAUAUAUUACUUUAAUUGUCGUGUUCUUGUCUUAUCGUAUUCUAGUUUUUUGAUAUUUGACGUAUCAUACUUUAUCAUAUCAACAUACCCGUAUUCAUAUCCGUACAACAUAGGUUGAGUGUGAGUUAAUUGAUUUUUUUAAAGUUUUUUAUGGAUGUCAGGAAGACGACUGCAUAAUCAAUCAAGUUGGGAGACCUGGUGCUAAAAGAUUGUAUGUUCUUGCAAAGUUCUUACCAAGGUGAGUUAUACUGUGAAAACUCACUUCCAGAUCUUGAGAGAACCACACUCAAAUGCAUGAUAAUAUGCAAAUUACCUUAGCAUAUAGAGAGUACCUUACAAUUACCUUCUGGCUAGCGGAAAGCCAGUCAAGCAAGGAGAAACUCAAUGGCGAAUCAAGCAAGGAGGAGCUUAAUGACAGUUAAUGGUGAAUUGCAAUAUCCUUGUUAAAAAGGUUGACCACUUGCAAUACCAGAGAAAACUUACUCUCUCGAAAGCAUGAUACCUAAGGAAAGGAGAGAAUUGAUUGCUUCUAGUUCUAAUUCCAUAGGUACCAGAGAAGUGUCUCCACAUGAAAAUAUUGGAUACAACCGAUUUCAUGUUGCAAGAGGUAAUUUUUAAUACUAGUUUUAAAUUGGAUUGAUAUCUCCUUUCCUCUUUUUUUUUCUUUUUUUUUUUCAAUACAAGCUCUUUAUAUCUAAUUUGCUUUUUAAAAUUUCUUAUUGUAGAUAAGUACUAUCUUGUGAAUGCGGGUUAUACUAAUGGACCGGGGUUUUUAGCACCCACUACUACAAAAAGUGAAAAAGACGACCAGAAAACAACGACGGUCUAAGUGAAAACCGUCGUGGUUUUUAAAAAGACGACGGUUCUAAAAACACCGUCGUGUAAUACCACCUUAGACAACUAAAAAUGGAGAUUCAAAUGGCUGUUCAAAAACAACGACGUACCUAAUUAAACAACCGACGUCUAUUUGAAAAAAAUUUCCGCAGUGUAAAAUCAAAGCCAACAAAGAACGGCAGAAGUUAUGAAUCGACCGACGUAGAAAGUAAAGACGACGAUUUCAAUAAAAGCCGCCGUUUUUACUCAUAAAAUAACACGACGAGGUUUUCGUAUAAGACGCCGUAUAAUUACAAACAAAUCCACGGCUUUAAAAUACAAAAUAUCGCCGUAUUAAAUUAAUGUACAACGACGGAAAAUAUAAAUAUAUCGACGUCAUUCUUGUAUAGUUCUACGACGUUAUCUUUAAAUCGUACUAUAAAAUUUAACGUCGUAUUUAUUCAUUUUAUACGUCGUACCUUUAAUUUAAACCGUCGUCUUAAUAAGAAUUUUUGUUAACAAUUUUUUCCUUUAUUUUCUUAUCCUACGUCGGUAGAUCUACUUAAUGACAAGAAUUGAAAUCUGUCAUCCAAAAAAAAAACUUUACAUAUUCCAGAACAUUAAUUUCCUUCAUUUUAAAUUUCCUCCGGAAAAAAAACUCUAUUUAUAACGCACUGUAAUUGAAAAAUAAACUGAAAGGUCACGGGAAAAAAAAUUCUAUUCAUAAUUUAAAAAUUCAAAUCCACGUCGGUUAUAUUAAACCUAACGACGUUAAAUGAAAAGAUUCCACGUCGCAAAACAAAUAUUGCGUCGUGUUAGUUUAGGGUUUCUUUAACAGUUUCAGUUUCUUUAACAGUUUGGUCCUUUAUCUUUCUGCAGGACUUGUAUAGUUCAAAGCAUUGACAAUGUCUUCAUCAUAUCUCCCAGCAACUACUGAUUCGAUUGCUCUACGGAUAAAGGAAAUGGAGCAUUCAGGUGCAAACUAGCACAAGCAAUGGCCUACUGAAGCUGGAAACUACUUGUUUGUUCCACUCGGACCCAGAGCAGAGCAACCUGCUAAGCUUUAACAUAAUGCGCGAGGAUGAUCGUGAAAAAUGAAAUGGAGCAUUCAAUUGCUUUAGAGGCCAUCUGAAGCCAUUUCUAUUCUUUAUCGCAUUCUUCUGAAGCUCUACGGAUAAAGGAAGAGGCUAUCACAAAUCUGACGGAUCUUCUUAGCCAAGAAAAUCAAGCAGAGGAUCAGGCACAUCUGAUCUUCAGAUUUCCCUGAGAAGCGAACUUUCCUUCGACAGCGAGUGGAGGCCAGGCUUGCAUCUCUUUUGAUGGAAAGCAAGGAGUAUUCAGAAGCACUAAGUGUCCUGUCAGGCUUGAUCAAGGAAGUGAGAAGGCUAGUUGACAAGCUUCUUCUUGUGGACAUAGAUUUGAUGCGAGUAAGCUCAAUUUCUCUUUGAGUAAGCCUAAAUUAUUGUCUUUGAGAUGUGAGAGACAGUGUCUCUGAGAGAGGAAGAACUUGGAACCUUAAAUGUAAACCGAAAAUGAAUGAAAGCGACAAAUUUAAAAUUAAAAUUCCGAAACAUAAUAGAAUUUCACCUAAAAAUAAAAACAAGUACAACACCAUACGUAUGCCCGGAAUAAUUCGAACCCUUCAUUGAAGCCAUGGCCAUAAUUUUCUUCCAUUUUUACUUUUACUUUUACUUCAUUGGAUUCCUUUAUCCUCAUUCAAUAAUGUUUUGAACUUUUGCCCACCUCCACUUGUAUUCUUUAAUUAUUUUCUAAACCCCUUCAUUCCCUAUUGUCUUGUUUCAAUCAUGUUCUGAACCAUUGCUCAACUUUGUCCAUCUCACUUUAUUGGAUUCCCUUAUCUUUCCUUAUCUUUUCCUAUCUUCAUUCAAUUAUUUUCUGAACCAUUGCUCAUUUUUGUUCAUCUCACUUUAUUGGAUUCCCUUAUCUUUCCCUAUCUUUUCCUAUCUUGAUUCAAUUAUUUUCAAACAUGUAGGUCAUCUCAUUCUCUUGUCUAUUUAAGAAGUGUUAUUCUACUAAAUUGACCACACAAUCUCCUUCAAUUCUCCUUCUUACAAUGAAUUCACGUGGGAAGCCUAUACAAAAUUUCUUCAAUGGUGAUUCUGAUGAUGAUGACCUUCAUCAACAGAGGGUUGCAAUGGCUGUUCGACACCAUAUGUUUUUGCUGCACCAAUAUGCUCAACAAUCCAAACAUGAUGGUUCUGUUGCAGGCCGUGAAUACAAGAAUCGGAAGAGAGAAAAAUAUCAUAAGAGUCUCAUGGAGGACUACUUCUGUGAAAGACCACUUAAUCCCCCAGUGGACUAUCACAGGCCGUUCCGCAUGAAAAGAGAGCUUUUCAAUCGCAUCUUGAAUGAUGUUGUUGCACAUGAGCCAUACUUUAUCCAGAAGAUAGACACUUGUGGACGACAAAGUCUAUCCCCAUAGCAGAAGCCAACAACUGUUUUUCGAAUGCUCGUAUAUGGAUGCUCGGCAGACUCCACCGAUGAGUACUGUAGAUUGGGUGAAUCUACAGCCCUUGAAUAUUUGCGAAAGUUUUGUUCCGUUAUUGAAGCUGUGUAUGGUCAGUGAUACAUCCGUUCCCCAAAUCCGGUCGAUCUUUACAGGCUCUUGCACAAGGCUAGUCACAGAGGAUUCCCAAGCAUGUUAGGUAGUCUUGACUACAUGCAUUGGGAAUAGAAUAACUGCCCCACUGCUUGGGCAGGCCAGUUUACCGGCUACAAGCAUAAGCCAACUGUCGUUCUAAAGGCAGUGGCCUCAUAUGACACUUGGAUAUGGCAUGCCUUUUUUGGAGUUGCCGGAUCGAACAAUGAUAUCAACAUCCUAACUCGUUCCCCGUUGUUCAAUGAUGUAGUCAAUAGGAAUGAAUACAAUCUGGGUUAUUACUUGGCUGAUGGUAUCUACCCUCGUUGGGCUACAUUGGUUAAGACGAUUUCCCAACUGGAUACUCCAAAAAAAAAGACUAUUUGCCCAAAAAUAAGAGGCUUAUAGGUAGGAUGUAGAGCCUUCGGAAUACUUCAGGCUCAAUGGGCAAUUGUUAGGGGACCUACACGUAUGUGGCGCAAAGAGGAACUUCAUUCAAUCAUGAUGACGUGCAUAAUAUUGCACAACAUGAUUGUUGAGGAUGAGUAUGAUGAUCUAGAUGUAGAAUUUGAUGACGAAGAAAAUUGUCCACGAACAUAUAGAAGAGCAAGAGCAAGACUGGCUUAUGAGCUUGAGCCAACUAUCACAUACGAUAUAAACCGAGACAGACAAACUAUCUCAGACUACUUGGUCUGUCAUAAUAGACUUCAUGCUUCGUAAGUGCAUCACAAUCUAAGAAAUGAUUUGAUCAACCACAUUUGGAGAUGUGAAGGAGAGGGGCAAUGAGCUAUGUUGUGUGUUUAAAUUAUGUUGUGUGUUUAAAUUAUGUAAGUGUGUUUAAAUAAUCUAAGCGUGUUUAAAUUAUGUUGUGUGUUUAAAUUAUGAAUUAUAUGGUUUAUCAUUGAAUUUAAAAAAAGACUAAUCAUAGAAAAAUAAACAACAAUCAUUAUAAAAAAAAAAAAAAAAAAAGAUAAACGAUAAUUAUAAAUAAAGAUAAACAACAAUUACAAAUAAAGAUAAACGAUAAAAAUAAAGAUAAACAAGAAUUGCAAAUAAAGAUAAACGACAAUUAUAAAUAAAGAUAAACAACAAUUACAAAUAAACGUAAAUUAAUAACCGCUAUGUGGAGGGCUUAGAUAAUAGUCUCCAGAGUUGUCUUCUGGAUUGUAGGGGGAACUUGUAUUCAUCUGGGCCUCAAUAAUUUCGUCUUUAUUAUUCCCCCAAUACUUUUUCUUUCUUGGAGUAAAUUUGGAUAGGCCCAUGGACAUUAUCCUUUGUUCAUUGGCCUCCUUAUUUUGUUGGAUUUGAUAUGCAUGUUGCUCUUAUAGGAGCUCUAACUUUCGCCUCCUAUCCUCUUUUGCCUCAUUUCCUUGUUGAACCAAUUUAGACAAGAACUUACCACUUUAGUUGAGAUAACUUUCAACACCUUUCCCUUUCUUUUUUUCAUCCUUUUGUUUAUCUCUUCCCAACGGCCUUGGAGUGGGCAUGACCACAUCAUCUUCAUCUUCCUCCAAAUUGACUGUAUUGCCACUAUGAGAAGAAUCUUUGAAUGUUUGUGUAGGAGAUUCACAUAGGUCGUUCCAUUUUGGGCAAUCUUUUAAGAUUUGCCAAGCAUGAUACAACUUGAAAGGCAUAUUCGGAGGUUUAUUAUCAUUCAAGAAAAGUAUUUUUGCAUUCAUAUCCUACCCAUGAAAUAAAACAAAAAUCAAGUUAAUAAUUGAAAACAAUUAAAAUUAUAAAUUUAAGCAUUGAAAAAAAAUGGGUACUCACCACAUCUUCAAGAUUGGAGCCACUCAUAUGCCUUGCAUUAGCCUUUGUUAUACAUGCCUUCCAAAGAGAACAUUGUUGGUUGAUGAUCUUGAACAGAGAAACAAUAGCUUGCGGUGAUCGUACCCCGGCUCCGCUCAUGCCCGGAUCAUUUUCCAAAAACUUUUGGUACAUACGCAACCAAAAUGAGUCGUUUGAUUGAUUCGUGUCAAUAGACCCAUCUUCAAAGACAAAAACCCACCCUUUGCACAAUGCCUCAUCUUCUUGUGGUUUCCAAUUCACACCUCUUUGGGGUUUGGGGGCCAUUCUCAAUAAGAAUGAAUGUAGAAUGAAAAAUUAUAACAAAGGGAGAAAGGAAAACAAAAAAGAUUUUUGGUGGAUUAUUUACCAAAUGAAUGGCUAUUUAUAGAGUUUGGAAUAAGUUUUCGGGUUGGAUCUGACUUAGAUUAAUUAUAAAUAUUAUUUUGACCGUUUGAUUUAAAUUUGAGCCAUUGGAUGUGAAAUUUUACCGUUGGGAUUGCCUAAAAUGAAUCAUAAUCGUUGAUUUUAUAGCUGUUGGAAUAUAUAAAAAAAAAAAAAAAACAGCAUAUCAGAUUAUUUGAAAAAGUAGCCGUUGGCCAUCAUUAAAUGAAAUGGGAAUCUGCUUUUUCGCAUUUGUCAGCAGGCCCAGCCAAUUUGGCCAUCACGUGGGCUUCCAGCCGAAAUAUAAAAAAAACAAAAUUAAAGCAUAUUUUGGGCCCACAAAAUUAUCAGUCCAUGCAGAAAUCAGACUAGAAUUCCACCCCAAUUUUGAGAUUUCUCAAAUUUUCACCCCCAAAAAUACAUUGGAGAAGAUUUUUGGACUCAAAACUCAAAAUUUGAGUUUCCACCCCUUGGGUUGGAGAUGGUCUAAGGACGUCACCUAUGCUGACGGAGUUUUCUAUUGUGUUUUUAUGUAAGGUAUGUCGUUAAUGGUGGGUAAGUUGGAUGUAGACUUUAAGAAUGGGUGGAUUGUUCAAUCUCCUUAGGGAUACAAUCUUAUCCAAUAUUCUCUUACCUGGUUGAGUCUGAUGGGAAACUCUUAUUGGCACUUUAUCAUCGCGAUCAUGUCGAAGGUUAUUGGUAUAUUUACCAACUUGAUUAUGUAAGUGUAUGCAUUUUGAGUUUUUCUUUUGGCUUCUCUUGACAAUAUUGUAAGAGGACAUAUAUUGUAAUCACCCAAACUCAAGUUUAGUUUAAGAAUAGUUUCUCUAAGUGUUCUUAUCUGGCUGCUAUCUUAUGGAAGAUCAAUCAUAUUGACAAAGGUAAUUUGUGCAUUGCAUCAUAUUGCAUUCAUUAGAUUUCUUAAGAUUAUGACUAGUCAUCUUGUUUUCGUAUGACUAGUCAUUUUUUGCAUCAGUAAGUUUUCCAGUUGGAUCCUACCAAACCUUUUUGUCUUAUUCUACGAAUUUUCUCAGUUGCCAUGUGUACUAUUCUGACCUGGGAAUUUUUUGGUAAAAGCCAAAUGAUUCCUCAUUUGGUAGGGGUCAAUUUUGAGGUGAGGUUUUGAAAAGGUUUCUCUAUUCUUUUGCUUCUUCUUCUUCCUUAAGAGAAAACCACCAUUUUCAUCUAUGAGUUUUCUAAAUUAAUUUUCAAAAAUUGCUUUUGAAAUAUUAAAUCUGCAUCUAUUUAGAACAAACACAUUCUCUAUACAUCUAUGUCAGAUUCAAGAUUGGUUUCUUCAAGAGUAUGGUUUCUUGAUGAAAUUGGUAUUUUCUCCUUGAAUUCAAAUUGUUGGUUUCUGUUCGAGUUUGAGCUGGCUAGUUGGUGCCAUGGGAUGAAAAAGCUGAAGAAUGAGCUGUUAUUGCCAUACAGGACUAAACUACUAGCUUUGCUAAGUUGGAGAAAAAGAUUGCACAAAGGAGGUAUAGCUUAUCUUCCUAAAUAGAUCUAGGAUCUCUUGAGCUUGCUUGUAUUUGUUUGUAAGAUAUGACUUUAAUCAAAAUAGGGAGAAACUCUAUAACUUAUUUUUUAGAUAAAUAAUAUUUGUCAAAGUUUGUUAGAACCUCAUUAGCAAGUUCAAUUGUCACAUUCCCAUUUUUCCUUUAUCCACCCUGUCGUUUACUUUUAAUUUUUAGAACUAAAAAUUUGCAAAACAAGAUUUUAAUCUGAUACUAUACUCCUUCAAUACAAGAUUUUAAGUUAGAGAAAAGAAAAGGGUGAGUUGAGGAUUAGAGAGUUAGCCAAAGAGUGGGAGUUAGGUGGUGGUUCUACAAUUUGGGUAUCCAACAUAUUUAAUGUUUAUUUUAUUUUUUUUAUACAGAUGAGUAUGACUGUUAUUUUCUUAAAAAAUAAAAAGAAAAAUUUUAUGUUGAAGCAUAACAUUGAAUAAAACGUCCCCACUCGAACUUCAUGGAAAAUGUAUUAAGGGUAGGAAAAAAAAAUUAUCUUAGCCAGAAAAGAAUCUUUUCCAUGACUGCCAAGGGAGAAAUCCACCUGGAAAAAAAAUUUACGAAGAAUGUGAAUUAACUUGACCAAAAAAAAAAAAAAAAAACCGAGGGGUUCAAUCCAGAAAAAUUAUAAAUAAUAAUGAGAAACAGAUUUUUUCAGCCCUUUGAAAGCAUAUGAUCUGAACACAUACCACAUCCAGGACAUUUGACGUAGUCUUCUUUGGUCAAAACAAGCCCUGACCCUCCACAUACCUCACAUCUUUUCUGUGCUAUCUAAUAUAUAUAUAUGCAUAAUCAUCAAUACCAUAUAUUAUCCCUGACAAAAAUAAAUGAUUAAUUAUGAACUCUGGAAAACUUACUAUUCUUUUGCUGAAUUCAAUCCCAGCCACCACAAAAGGUGUAACUCCAGCUGCGCAUGCACAAAAAACAAAAAAGAAAAAGAAAAAAGAAAUUCAAAAUUCAAUAAUUCAGAAAGAAUUUACAGUAGUUAUAUAAUUUAAGAGUGAAAAUAUACCUAUGGCUCCAACAACAAUUUGCCAAGUGAUGGCAACCGGGGUUGGAUCCACUACAACCGGAACAUGAUGAAUUGCUGCAACCCUCCAAGCUUUUGUGCUUGGUUUUUUCAUAGCUAGCUGCUGGUUCUGGUUGCAUGGUUUUCUGGUAAAGCUUGCAUGUUUUGAGAUGUGAAGGCUUCUUCCUAAGAGAGUGUUGUUGGAGGAAGUUGGAGUUGCCAUUUGUGUGAAGGAAGAGACUGAGGCUUCCAUAUUUGGUCGUGUGAUGAGUUGAGAGAGAGAGAGAGAGAGGGUAUCGGCUGAAUUGAAAGUCACCACAGCUUCAUAUUGGGCCACGUUGCAUCUCCGCACUCACAUACUCAUUAGACAAUGUGGAUCACACAUAUAUAUUUGCGAAUGCUUGUGCCUUUUUCCCUCAUUUUUGCCCAAAAAAAGAUUCCCUCAAUGUCAUUUCAAUUUUGAUAAUUAUAAUCUUUUAGUUUUAUAAUUUUAGCAAUUAAGUCCCAAUUAAGGGUAAGCAUUCGUUUUUCUCCAUAACAUAUUUCACAGAUUUAUUACCGAGAUUUGUUUUGAGUAAAUUAAAGACUUCAAUUAUAUGAAAGUAACGAGUUGAGGACUUAUGGUGUUCCAUUAGAGAGGACAAGAUAUCCCACAGAUAUUCCCAUUACCACCCCAGAUGCAUACCCCAUCAACACUACCUUCUAAUCAAAACCAUUCCCAUGCUCCAAAUCAUCCUCUUGUUGGAAUGACGAUGGCGGUGAUUGAUGUGCAUUGCAUGUUUUAGAAAGUGGCAAUCCACAUAAUCCGGUAUUCCCACUAUAUGAAUCAUUUUCAAAUGUAUCAAAUUGCUUGCCAUGAGGUAUGGGCCCCCAUAAGUUGAUUUUUUGAAACAUUGAACUUUGAUAGUGACGUCAAAUUUGCCAGUUGCUCCGGAAUAUCACCAACAAGUUUGUUUGAAGACAGAUCUAACCAUUUAAGAUUGCACAUAUCGCCAAAUGAUGGUGGAAUUGUACCUGCAAGCUCAUUAUGAGAAAAUUUAAGCCCCUUCAAUGAUUUAAGCUUACUAAUUACACUUGAAAUCUCUCAUCUGAAAGUGUUGUUUGAGAAAUCAAUAAUUGUGAAGAACGUCAGGAUCUUCUCCAUUUCAAUUUCGAAGCCUUUAAUUGUCACUACCACAGUAUCCUGAUAGUAGCGCCCUCCCAUAUAUUUCAGUCCAUGUUCUUGCGAGUUUAUCAUGACUGUCAAAUGUUCAAAAUAUUUUAUUGGCAAGAGACCGCUAAACCGAUUGUAGGAUAAGUCCAUGAUACACAAUUUUUGGAAUGGAAAGUUAGUUUUCGGAAUGCCUAUUUCACCAUAGAAUUUGUUAGACCUCAAGAUAAGAACCGGCAACUUCGGAAGAGAUUCCAGCCAAUUUGGCAUAUUUCACAGAUUUAUUACCGAGAUUUGUUUUGAGUAAAUUAAAGACUUCAAUUAUAUGAAAGUAACGAGUUGAAGACUUAUGGUUCAUUUUUUUGAAGUUUGUUCAAUUUACUGUCAAAACAUGUCACCCACACAGUCACUUGUUGGGGAUUAAUUUUUGUAUUUUUUCUUUUUAAAACUUUUGAAUUGUUCAAAAAUGUCACAUGUUCUCUACAUAGUCUCUCUCUCUCUCUCUCUCUCUCAAAUAGAGUCUCUCCAACUCCAUCCAUUUAAUGCAAAUUUUUUUAUAUCAAAAAUUCCAAUAUGUAAUACUUGAGAAGUUGAUAUUUAUAACAAGCUUCGUUGUCCUUCAUUUAAAAUUUCCACUGUGGUAGGAUGGCAAGUACUUGAGCUUGUUUCCUGCAAAAUCAACAAGCAUCUUUUGACAUGGAGGGUGAAGCAUCUAUAUUGUCACAUGGGUGUAGGUCCCAGUGUUAGCUAGCUAGGAAAUUCUUGUAACUAGUUACCAUUUUUAGUAUGGCAAGUACAUGAUGAGUUUGUUUUAUGGAAAAUCAGCAAGCAAGGAAGCAUCUAUAUUGUCACAUGGGUGUAACUAGGAAAUUAUUGUAACUAGUUACUAGGCUUUGAUUUGAUAUUUGAUAUUUGGUCUUUGGUCUUUGGUCUUGGUAGGAAAUUAUAAUUUCUGUGUGUUCAAAUGGUUUUCACGUUUUGCCUCCAAUUCCUACUAGUCAAAACUUGUCUAAAUAUGAUUCACAUUCUGUGUGUGGACCAAAUAUGCAAAAAAUGUUUGGAUAAGGAGAAAAAAUUAAAUUUUGGAUUUUAUGCAUGCUAUUUAGUGAUUUAAUUCUUUUCAUUUCCUUGUAUUUUUUGGAAUGAGAACAUUUUUAGGAGUAUAUAACAUAGUUGAGCCAAAUUGCGUGUACUGAUUGAAUUGAUUUGUCAAUUGUGUUUGACAAAUUACAAGAUGCACGAGCAAUUAAUCUACUUUAACAAAAGUAGGAUCCUCUUUUUAAAUUCAUGCAUAUUUAUUGCGCUUUGACAUAAUACAAUAUUCAUAAAAAAAUGAUAUACAAUAUGAAAAUACAUAAACUUUUGGAACGGUUAAUUCUUCAAGCACGUCGUCAUGUGAUUUCAACAGUUCUAUGACGUUGCUUUCUUCCUACCAUUUUAACAAGCUAAUCUGGUGUUCCAUUAGAGAGGACAAGAUAUCCCACAGAUAUUCCCAUUACCACCCCAGAUGCAUACCCCAUCAACACUACCUUCCAAUCAAAACCAUUCCCAUGCUCCAAAUCAUCCUCUUGUUGGAAUGAUGAUGGCGGUGAUUGAUGUGCAUUGCAUGUUUUAGAAAGUGGCAAUCCACACAAUCCGGUAUUCCCACUAUAUGAAUCAUUUUCAAAUGUAUCAAAUUGCUUGCGAUGAGGUAUGGGCCCCACAAGUUGAUUUUUUGAAACAUUGAACUUUGAUAGUGAUGUCAAAUUUGCCAAUUGCUCCGGAAUAUCACCAACAAGUUUGUUUGAAGACAGAUCUAACCAUUCAAGAUUGCACAUAUUGCCAAAUGAUGGUGGAAUUGUACCUGUAAGCUCAUUAUGAGAAAAUUUAAGCCCCUUCAAUAAUUUAAGCUUACUGAUUGCAUUUGGAAUCUCUCCUCUGAAAGUGUUGUUUGAGAAAUCAAUAGUUGUGAAGAAAGUCAUGAUCUUCGCCAUUUCAAUUACAUUGCAUUUAAUUGCCAUUGCCAUAGUAUCCUGAUAGUAGCCCUCUCCCAUAUAUUUUUCAGUUCAUGUUCUUGUGAGUUUAUCAUAGCCGUCAAAUGUUCAAAAUAUUUUGUUGGCAAGAGACCGCUAAACCGAUUGUAGGAUAAGUCCAUGAUACACAAUUUUUGGAAUGAAAAGUUAGUUUUCGGAAUGCCUAUUUCACCAUAGAAUUUGUUAGACCUCAAGAUAAGAACCUGCAACUUCGAAAGAGAUUCUAGCCAAUUUGAGAAUGUGUCUUGAAUUUUGUUCUUUUCAAGGUCUAGAACUUCCAACUCUCUACAUGUGAGCAAAGUGUGCAGCAACGACCCUUCGAACUGAUUUCCAUUAAGAUUAAGAUUUCUCAAAAUGUUUCCCUUAGAAAAUGUCCAAGGAAUCACUCCAUGAAAUUUAUUAUUUUGCAGUCAAAGUGGUUCACCGACCACUACAUCGAUGAAAAAUCUCGCCAAAAUAUGCUCUUUGAUCAGUGAUUCACCGGCCACUACAUCCAGGAUCCCACCUAAAAACCAAUCAUCUGCUUGUUAUUGUUCCCUUUCUCUCUCUCUAAGACUAAAAGAGUGAGGAAAAGAAGCAGCUUUGGCAGCUAUUUUUGGGUAGAAACUAGACAUUUGUAGUGUGUGUGUGUGUAUAUGGACUUUACCGCUGUGGCCUUUACUGUAUGAUCUAUUAUUGUGAACUCAGUUUUGUUAUGCAGUUGCUUUGUUACUCAUUUGUCCGACGAUAAGAAUUUGUUUUGGAUUGUUGAGAUUUAUCAAAAUAGUAUGUUUAAUAUAAUUCUGAUAAUGUUUAUCAAAAUAUCUUAAUUAUAAAAAAUGAAGAAAAAAAUUGUUUUCAAGAAUUCCACCAAACAAGUUUUCAAAUUUUAAAUAUUCAAAAACAGUUUUCAAGUUGUAUACCAAACAACUUUUUGAAUCUUAAAAAAUGAAUUUGAGAACUCCUUGUUUUUUAAGAAAAAUAACAAUUUUUAAGUUCUCUACUUGGAUAGAAUACCAAACAAGCCCUUACUCACUCACUAUCUUCUUCAUAUUAAUAAAUUGACCACCAUGUUCUGUCAAUCUAUUUUCUUCAGGCCCGUUUGGUAUUUUAUCCAAGUAGGAAACUCAAAACCUUAGAUUAUUUUAAAAAACAAAGAGUUCUCAAAUUCAUUUUUUAAGAUUCAAAAACUCGUUUAGUAUGCAACUUGAAAACAGUUUUUAAAUUUUUAAAUUUAGAAACUUGUUCGGUUGAAUUCUUGAAAACAACUUCUUUUUUUUCUUUUUUUUUUAUAGCUAAGGUAUUGAUAAACAUUAUUGAAAUUAUACUAAACAUACUGAUUUUAAUAGUCCUGAUCUCUUAGACUACAGGGGUCCAAGAGAUUUGUGGUCACUUAUCGUUGAAUGUAAAUUCAACGGUUCACUCACUCUUGCACUCCUUUUAAGAAACUUUUUUGAACCAUUGAAUUAAUAUCCAAUAGUGGGUGACCACAAUCUCUUGGACCACAGAGAUCGGGACUGCUGAUUUUAAUACCAUACAUAAAUAAUGAUCGUCAAAUUCAAUUGAUCUUCAAGUCUUAAAUAAUACAUAUUAAAUUAAAAUAUUCUAUACUAAAUAAAUUCUAGACUAAUGAUAUUGCUCCGGCUAUUCAAUCUCUAGCAUCACUAAUUUCAUUAGCAUUGUCCUCACUCAUGCAAAUGGGUGUGUUCCCUGCUUGAUUUGCGCAAGAGCUUUCUUCAUCUACCACAUCAAGAUCAUGCAAAUUGUGCAAAAUUCCAUUAGGGCCCCAAUAAUGUCACUUCAGACACCAUCAUAUUUGUAUAUAACCAAAUUGCAAAAUUGGAAUGAGAAUAAAUCUUCACAAGUCUCCAACUAAAAUAGCAGAUAAAGAAUUCCAUGAUAUAGCUGAGAUACAAAAUUGCUACCACGCACAACACAAUCCAUGAAUAAAGAAUUCCAUGGUAAGGUAUGCACUGUAAUAUUUCCUUCUUAGACUCUGUCAAAUCUAACAGGCCUUCUUAGAACAUAAUCUACAUGGAACCCAAUUUGGGCAAGCUCAUGACAACUCUAUUCAAAGCUUGAUUUUUCAUAACAGUAGAACAACUUACUAUAACCUUCAAUAUGGUUCACUAGCCAUAUCCUUGACAAUACCAGGAAAAUCCAAACUAUGGCCACACAAAUAUAAAGAAACAAUAAAACUGGCUAUAUAUAACUUAGAGAGAGAGAGAGAGAGAGAGAGAGAGAGAGAGAGAGAGAGAGAGAGAGAUGUGGAUGAAGAGAGAGAUACCUCUGUAAUGCUCAACCAGUCCAAAACAAAACUCACAAAAUCCAUAACCAAAGGGCACCCUACGGCUAAACAUUGGCAUUUGAUACCUCUAUAAUGUGUCUAUGAAAUUGAUCAAAAUGAAAACUUGAGUGGAAAACUUCUUCUGUAACAAUUCCUACUAGUUUGAACAAAUGUCUAAGAAAAAACUUGUGUAUAAAAUACAUGAUUUUUACUGUCACAUACAUACUGAACAAGCUCUUAUCAAAACUUGUCAAGUUAAGUGAAACGAUCAAUCACAAUAAAUUGAGUUAAUUUUGACUGCAGAGCUCAUACUAACGGCAAGCUGAUGUGCAAAAUACUACAUAUUCAAGAAUUCUUUUUAAAUAGAAUAUAGAAGUUGAUUAACAUAUUAAGACUUCUUUUUUGGACCAAUACAUGAAAAAAAUUGCAGAGAAGCAUCAAAUGACCAAUUCAACAUAAGCAGGAUCUCAGAAAUUACAACCCAUAUGAAUAGCAUAACUGAGCAAAUAUCAUUCAGACUUCUGAGUGCUAGAGACUUCAAAUGAGAUAAUAAAAACAAAAAACAAAAACAACUGAAAAAAUUGAAACCAAUGAAUUCUAUAACCAGAAUAGGGAACACAAUGGACCCAUAAUGUCAAAAUCUAAAAGCAUUUCAUCACUUUCUAUGAAAAAAUAAUCAAUCAGGUUACACACAAGAAUUCAUAUAAAUAAAAUCAAAUUAGAUAUAAAUAAGCUAUAAAUCCAAUAAAAAAUAAACUCCAAUCUUCAGUUAUAAAGGACAAAAAGGGAACUAAAAAUUACCCGAUUGUAGAGAUCGGACAUUAGCAACUCCAGCUCACGACGAGCCAAUGGUGCGCGCCUGUUCGGUGGCGUGUGACGCCGAUAUUUCAACUGACAGAAUCGCAGAGACCAGAGGAGGCAGCGAGGGCGGUGCUCAGAUGCCCAGCCCUAAAAGUUACUGAUGAGAGAGAGGGACGAAGAGAGAGAUGGAGAGAGAGAGGGAGCAACAAAGCUUCAAGCUUCUGCUAUGGAGGCUUGAAGCUUGAGCUCAGAGCAAGCGUUGCUCGAGCGAUGAGACGAGUAGAAAAAAAAAUUCGAAAAAAACAGAAUUUUUUAUGUUUUCUAAUUUGUUGGUGUUUUUGAGUUUAUUUUGAGUUUGAGUUUUUAAUUUUAUAUGAUUAUAUUUGAAGGGAAAAAAAAAACCCAAAAUUCAAGUGUUAUAUCUCUGUUUAUUAAUUAAAUUAUUAAAGUUGAACCUUUCAUGCUCAUAUUUUUAGUUUCUUUAUUGAUAUUGCCUCUAUCUUGAUGUGGUGAUUGUUGAGAUUUUUAUUUUUUAUUUUUAAGAAAAUCUCGACGGAACGAGAAAAACUUUAUUGAUAAAAUGAAGAAUUACAACGCGAGGAACAAUAAGACUGACCCUGACACAAAAAAUCACAUAAUAAGGUGUUCUAAAUAAGAUCAUCAAACCAAAUAAAAAUAUCCACAUUAUGCAGACCGAAUCGAGCAAGUCACCAAUGUGCAACACCAUUUGCUUCCCAAUGAGUAAAUUGAAAAAGAGAUCCAGGAAUCUCAAAUAAAGUUGAGGAUUUUAUUGUUAUUAGUUGCUUUUAUUAUAAAAUUUAAAACUCUGGAAACCUUAAAAAGACAAAAAUAAAAAUAAAAAGAAGACAUUACUCUAAAAAGAUAUUUGGAUUAAUAUUUUCUUUAAAAAAAUCGAUGAUUAGUUUAUAAAAUAAAAUAAACAAACUACAAUUUUAGUGAUUAAUGUGUUCGUACAUGAGCACACUUUAGACUUUCACCUUGGGCCUUUGAGAGUUGAGAACCGGCCCUGCCUUUCAUAAUAAAAUUGAAUAUCCCUCAUGAAUUAAUAAAAAUCUUGUUUUAUUUUGUAAUUGUUAAUUAUGCUAUGUAAUUGCUAAUUUCUAAUGUUGGUGAUUGCUUAAUUUUAAGGCAUAAAAUAUAUUUUCAUUUUAAAUAAUUCCAAGCCAAUGAAAGAUGUCAUUUUUUUGUAAAACGACCUGUCGUUCUUUUCCCACCAGCUGCCGUCUCGUGGUGCUCUCAAGUUCUCAACCCACUCCAACCCCAAAAUUCUCAAGUCCAAUCGGAGGUCGCGCUAUGGCCAGCCUCUGUCUCCUUACGACCAAGAUGACGACGAAGAGGUUUCUCGUGCUAGUGAUGUUUCGGAUGACGAUUGGUUGCUCAAUGUGAGUUUCUGUUCUGGCUCUUGUGCUUGAGCUGCUCGACUUGGUGGUUGUCCUUUGGGAAAGUGUUUUUUCUUGCUUUUGAAAGCAGAUUUUUUUUUUUUAAUUUAAUUUAAUUUUUUAUAGUUAAAGUUCUACUUGGAUUUGAAGUACCUUUACUUUUGUGAAUGUAGUAGCAUUUGGUUUUUCAGUUUUUUAUUAAAAUUUUAACUUUAAUUUGAGGCAUGGAUAGUAACAAUGGUACAAUUAUGCUCACUGUGAGGUACCCAUGUUUUGAAAUACGGUAAUUUGUAGUUUUUCUUUGUGGAAUUCUUGAUUUGGUUGCUUAGGGGUUUGAGGUAAAUAUUUGUUUGUGGGUCUUUUUCAAUGUAAGAAGUGCAUGCCAGUUUCUUUCUGAUUUACAAAGCAACGUGCAAAGAAAGAUUAAGAGUUCAAGUUUUAUCCGUUUUCUUUUUGCAUUUCAUUAUUGAAAAUAUUGCAAAAUUGAUUCUUGGACUUGUGGUAAUUUAUUUUCAUGGAAAGAUUAGUUUGGUAUAAGUGUUUCUGUGACACAACUAUCUUCGGUUUCCUUUGUUUGAAACAUCAUCUGGCUUUUCUUGUGGGUUGCUUCUCCAGGAUGACUUUGCAGAAAUUUCAGAGUUUGAUGUUAAUAGAAAGAGGUCCAAAUCACACAAGGGAUUUGUGAAUGGUCAUUCGGAUGGCAGAAACAGUAAGCACACUCUAGAGAAAAGUAAUGCUGCAAACUACUACAAUAGUUCUAAUCAAACAAAUGGUGUCAGUUCCUUGGAUGUACCUCGUAAGGGAAAGGUAUCUUGUAGAGUGAUAUGACGAGCUGUCAAAUUCUGUCAUCAACUAUACUAUUUUUCCGGGAAGUGCUUAUUUAUUUUCUUUGAUGCAGCAGUCUACAAGGAAAGCUAUGGAGGAUAGAUUUCCUCGGCUAUCAGAAGAGGUUGAAUUGGAUGAGAAGUGGUUACCUCUUAUUGAUUACCUUAGCACAUUUGGGCUUAAGGAAUCACACUUUAUUCAAAUGUAUGAAAGGCAUAUGCCUUCUCUUCAAAUAAAUGUGUGCUCUGCAAAGGAAAGGUUGGAAUAUUUGUUGAGUGUUGGGGUCAAACAAAGAGAUGUAAGAAGAAUGCUUUUGAGGCAGCCACAAAUCCUCGAAUAUACAGUUGAGAACAAUUUGAAGUCCCAUGUUGCUUUCCUCAUGAGUUUGGGUAUUCCAAGUUCCAGAUUCGGGCAGAUUAUUGCUGCUGCUCCAUCCCUCUUCUCUUAUAGCAUUGAGAAUUCAUUGAAACCCACCGUGAGAUACUUAGUUGAGGAGGUCGGGAUUAAAGAAAAAGAUUUAGGUAAAGUUGUGCAGUUAAGCCCUCAAAUUCUAGUUCAGCGGAUUGAUAUAUCAUGGAAUACUCGUUUGAAUUUUCUUUCUGAGGAGAUAGGAGCACCCAGAGAUAGUAUUGUGAAGAUGGUUAAAAAACAUCCCCAGUUCCUCCACUUUAGCAUCGAUGAUGGUCUGCUCCCCAGGAUCAAUUUCCUUAGGAGUAUUGGGAUGUGUAAUGCUGACAUCUUGAAAGUCUUAACUAGUCUGACACAGGUCUGCUUACUUUCUUUUAUGCCCAUCAGAGUACUUUUACAUUGUUUCUAAUUGCUUGGGAUUUAUUUGUACUUGUGUCACAAGAAAUAGUUUUUCUUUCCAUAUGCAUGUAUGUUAGUAUGAGUUUCUACUUCUUUUACUGAAAUAUCAUGUUCUUAAGAAGAAGAAAAAUAGCUUUCUUGCUGCUUCCCACUUAACAAGUUAAUUUUCUGAAUCUUUGACCAUUUUAAAGUUCCCUUUUGUACAUUUCUGACAUGUAGCCUUGCAGGGACUAUCCCUAUCACUGGAGGAGAAUUUGAAACCCAGGUACAAGUACUUGGUCAAUGAACUUCGUAAUGAAGUGCAUUCCUUGACCAAAUAUCCUAUGUACCUAAGCUUGUCUUUAGACCAGAGAAUUCGCCCCCGACAUAGGAUAUAUAAGAUUUUUCCACCGAAGCUGUCCUACAGUGCCAGUCAAAAAGUUGUGAGAAAGAUCCAAAAACGUCAAUGAAUCUUUCCCCAAAUCCAAUAACCAUUUGGGAAUGUAGGCUUGGAUUCUGUUGUGGGAAAGGUAUAACAUAUCCAACUUUUGUGAGGCUCUGAGAAAGUAUGGGAACUCACUUAUGUUACAAGACGACAAAUCUAGACUCGAAAGUUGAGGCCAGGUGUUGUUACUCAAAUGGUUGAAGCUCAAGGAUAGAUGAUUAAAGGAAAGAUUAAGCUCACUAAGACUUUGGAGUUUGGAAAACUUUUCAAACUCCACAGUGCCACUCAAGUGGUUGGAUGAUAGAUCAAGCCCCGUAACCUUCUCAAGUUCAAAGAUUGAUCUUGGAAUCAGGCCAUCCAGCUUGUUAUCACUUAAAAAAAGGUAUUCCAAAGAACGAGAUUGGAACUCAAUGAUAUUACCACUGAGUUGGUUGCUUCCGAGGUCUAACCACUCCAAUGAUGGCAAACUAACUAACCAAGAUGGUAUUGUUCCGUUGAGUUGGUUCCCAUCUAAAAAGAGGGCGGUUAAGUGUCGUGGAAUAGGACCCACCAGUUGUUGUUUUGAAAAAUCAUAUAAAGAAGAGUUGCUAUCAACUUCUGGAAACUGACCGACAUAAUUGUUGAAACUAAGAUCCAACCAAGUGAGUGUCUCAAGAUUUAAGAAUGACCAUGGGAUUUGGCCACCAAAACUGUUAUACGAGAGGUCCCUUUUGUACAUUUCUGACAUGUAGCCUUUCAGGUACUAUCCCUAUCACUGGAGGAGAAUUUGAAACCCAAGUACAAGUACUUGGUCAAUGAACUUCAUAAUGAAGUGCAUUCCUUGACCAAAUAUCCUAUGUACCUAAGCUUGUCUAUAGACCAAAGAAUUCGCCCCCGACAUAGGUUCUUGCUUUCUCUGAAGAAAGCUCCUAAAAGGCCAUUUCCUUUAAGUUCACUGGUCCCCACUGAUGAAUGCUUCUGCCAGCAGUGGGCUGGAACUAGCUUAGAUAAAUAUAUAGAUUUCCGGCAGAGACUACUGCUCAAGGAGUUUGCCAAAAAAUAUGAAAGAAAGGGAUAGCAUCUUCUCCGAAAGGAUGCCCGAGGUUACUGACCCAAGUGUUUGAUGAACAGAGCAGCCUCCCUUUGCAACUUUGUCUGUGAAUGAAUUUCAAUGUAUGCCACUGUUAACAAUAAUUUCCAUGAAGUUCAGAGUUUCUGGUUAUCAUAAACCUGGAGUAAGCAAGUUUCCAGGUUGUUGACAGUUUCCCGUUGGGAUGGUUAGUUUGUUUCUCAUGUGGAGUAUAUAGGUGGUACCUCACUCCACUCCAAUGCUAUUAGUUGUUCAUACAGGAGCAGCUCCAGUUUUGUAUACAACGUUACAUUCUCAGGUCAAGGCAUCUAGAUGAGUAUUAUUUUCGAGGUUCUAACUGCUUGUGACAGAAAAGACAAUAGACGACAGUCUAUGCUUUAAGGUGAUUUAUUUUUUAAUUGAACAAGAAAGGGUGGUUUCCAGGAUAAUGAAUCUACCUUUUGAAUGGUCGCAUGUUUGAUUAUUUGUGCUGUAUUCCUUUGUGCUAGUAGACAAGUACAACGUAAUACAUCUCUUCCUUACUGCCAUUGGAUAGCCUAAUUACAUUGUUUGAUAUGAUUUUGUACUUUCUAAUGGUUAAUUAACUCAUUGCAGGUUAGUAGUGUAUUUGCAUCUUCUCAACUCUCAAGUGGACAAAGGAGAAGCUUUACUAACUGCGGUUGAUUUAAAACAGGAGGAUUCGUUCUUCUACUGUAUGCAUUGUAAGUCGGAUGAGUUUUUGCUACUUUUUCAUCCCGAAAAUAUACCCAGAGAAAAGCAAGAAAGCAGCCAAAAUUGCAUUGGAAUUUUACAGAGAAAAUUUGUCAACUCUGUAGUUUGGAGAUUCAACCCAACAAGUAAAGGUCAUCAUCAUAUUCGAUCAAAUUGGAUUUAAUUGGUUAAUUUGAGUGGAUUGGAUUGAGUUUUAAACACGAACUAGAUUGGAUUGAUGUCAAACAUAUAACUAUAGAAACUCAACUUUAACACACUAAUAUAUAUGUAACAAUAGUGUUGUAUGAAGAAAAUUACUUCUCUUAUUUCCACCAUAACGUGAUUAAUAAGCAGCUCGAGUUAGUAUUUAUCUCGUGAUGAUACAUCUAACUUAAUAAACAUGAUUAACAUUGAUGAGUAUUUCAUAACUAUCACGAUACAUCCGCGUAACCUAAUUGACUUGUGAUUGGUUUGUAGCUUAAGUUGUUAAGAGCAUUUAUCCUUGUAUUUGAUGUCCUAGAUUCGAUUCCUGCCUCCUCCAAUAUGUUUGUAUAAUAUAUAUUGUAAUUUUUAUUUUUUUUAAAUAUGGUUUGGCGCAUCAACGAUUGAAUUUAGACACCAACAAUAGACCCUUGAACCCAACAAGUGCAACGAUUUAGACAAUAUGACCACUUCCCUCUGGCAUUAAUCUGCAAGUUUAAACUAUGCUAGAUUCCGUUGACAAACAUUAUGACCAAUUCCCUCCUGAUGCUGGUCAACGGUGUGCCUAUGUUGCGAAACCACUUGCCUGUGGCAAGUCCUCCAAAAACAAGUGAUUGGCCAAGUUGAUCCAGUCUCUGGCUAGAAGCUUGCACGUUAUCCUUUCAGGGUCGGUUUGCUUCAAUACAAGAUUAUCAUGAAAACCCAAUCAUUUAUUUAUUUAAUAAUUGAAUUUGGUGGUGUCAAUUUUCAGAAAGUUGUUCAAGGAAUGAGACAGUGAAUGAGACAAACUUCGAUACUGCAUGCAGUUUGCGUUAGUAGCAUUUCUCUUAAAGCUAAGAGAAAUGCUAGUAACAUUCUUUCUAACUUUCUCUUUUGGACUUUUUUUUUUUUUUGCUUAACAUGUGUCAUUCUUCUUACACUUAAAAUAAUGUCAUUAAUACAAAGGACCCACUAGUGUAGUGGUUUGGAGUAUUUACUCCCUCAGGCAAGGUCCUGGGUUCGAGUCCUAGCAUCCGUGUUGUGUGUGUGAGUUUAAUAUGAUAUCGCCCCUUUCAAUAGGAAAGGACCUCAAAAAAAAAAAAUAAUAAUGUCAUUAAUAUAUUAUACAAGUUAACUUUGGUUUGCCAACUUUACUCUUAUUAAAUGUAUUCAAUUUAUUCAAAAAACUUUCACAACUUUCUUACCAUUAUUUUUUUUUAACGUCAAUUAUUUUUUUCAAAAAAAUAUCUAAUUUUUUCAAAAAAGAGGAAAUAUCUGUUUUUUUUUUUAAUAAUAAAAAUAUCUAAACCCUUUGUGUUUAAAAAUAAAAAUUUAAAAAAAAAAACUAGACAUUUCCUCUUAAAAGCAUAUAUUUUCUUUAAAAAAAUAAUUGACGUUAGAAAAAAAUUAAUAAGAUGGUAAGAAAGUUCAAAAAAAAAUUUGGAUAAAUUGAAUACAUUUAAUAAGGGUAAACUUGGAAAGCAAAAGUUAGCUUGUAUAAUAUAUUAAUGACAUUGUUUUAAGUGUAAGGAGAAUGACACAUGUCAAGCAAAGAAGAGAGAAGGUCCAAAGGAGAAGGUUAGAGAGAAGGUUGCUAGCAUUCCCCUAUAGCUAAUGGCUCCAACUAUAUUAGCCUAGUUAUGGAGGUCGGUUUGUCUUUCUGUACAAAUAAUACAUGUUUUGAGAAUUUUGAUAGUGUAGGCGUAGAGCCUUUUUCUUAUCCGGAUGUCGCAAUAUCCUUAAAAUAUAUUCUAUCUACACAAGUUCAAUAUAUAAAAAAAUUUAUAAAAACUUACAUUUUCUUCGAAGUGUUUAGAAAACUAAAUGGGGAGGUGAUAAUUGAUUCUUUUUCUCCGUAACAUAUUUCACGGAUUUAUUACUGAGAUUUGUUUUGAGUAAAUUAAAGACUUCAAUUAUAUGAAAGUAACAAGUUGAGGACUUAUGGUCAAUUUUUUUAAAGUUCGUCCAAUUUGCUAGCAAAACAUGUCACCCACACAAUUACUUGUUGUGGAUUAGUUUUUGUAUUUUUCCUUUUAAAACUUUUGAACUGUUCAAAAAUGUCACAUGUUCUUAUAAAAAGAAUAUACAUGAAAAAUUUUGAAUAGAAGUAUCACCAGCUGACGUGAUAAUACCGUACUAUUUAAUAAUUUUUACACAUUCUCUCUCUCCCCAUUCAUUUAAUGCAAAUGUUUAUAUAACAAAAAUUCCAAAAGGUAAUACUUGAGACGUUGAUAUUUAUAACAAGCUUAGCUGUCCUGCAUUUAAAAUUUCCACUGUGCUAGGAUGGCAAGUACUUGAGCUUGUUUCCAACAAAAUCAGCAAGCAUCUUUUGACAUCGAGGGUAAAGCAUCUAUAUUGUCACAUGGGUGUAGGUCCCAGUGUUAGCUAGCUAGGAAAUUAUUGUAACUAGUUACCAUUUUUUAGCAUGGCAAGUACGCAAUGAGUUUGUUUCUUGGAAAAUCAGCAAGCAAGCAAGCAGCUUUUGGAAAAUUUUGCAACCAAGGCUUUGAUUUGAUAUUUGGUCUAUGGUCUUGGUAGGUAUAAUUUCUGCGAUAUCAAAUGGUUUUCACGUUUUGCCUCCAAUUCCUACUAGUCAAAACUUGUUCAAAUAUCCAAAGGGCAUGUCACGUACAUUCCUCAAUCAGAAUUGAUUAAUUAAUUGUCAAUUGCAUGGUCAUAGUCAAUUUUUAAGUUGAUUUGUAUUGUACCCUCAGUUUUGUGGGCAAAUACUACUCAAUUAUCCAUGCUAUUUAGUGAUUUAAUUUUUUUCAUUUCCUCGUAUUUUUUGAAAUGAGAAGAAUUAUAGGAGUAUAUAACAUAGUUGAGCCAAAUUACGUGUAUUGAUUGAAUGGAUUUGUCAAUUGUGUUUGACAAAUUACAAGAUGCACGAGCAAUUAUUCUAUUUUAACAAAAGUAAAGAGGAUCCUCUUUUCAAACUCAUGCAUAUUUAUUGGCGCUUUGACAUAAUAAAAUAUUCAUAAAAAAUGAAAUACAAUAUGAAAAUACAUAAACUUUUGGAAUGGUUUCUUCAAGCACGUCGUUGUGUGAUUUUCACAGUUCUACGACAUUGCUUUCUUCCUACCACUUUAACAAGCCAAUCUGGUGUUCCAUUAGAGAGUACAAGAUAUCCCACAGAUAUUCCAAUUACCACCCUAGAUGCAUACCCCAUCAACACUAGCUUCCAAUCAAAACCAUUCUCAUGCUCCAAAUCAACCUCUUGUUGGAAUGACGAUGGCGGUGAUUGAUGUGGUGCACUGCAUGUUUUAGAAAGUGGCAAUCCACACAAUCCUGUAUUUCCACUAUAUGAAUCAUUUUCAAAUGUAUCAAAUUGCUUGCCAUGAGGUAUGGGCCCCACAAGUUGAUUUUUUGAAACAUUGAACUUCGAUAGUGACGUCAAAUUUGCCAGUUGCUCCGAAAUUUCACCAACAAGUUUGUUUGAAGACAGAUCUAACCAUUCAAGAUUGCGCAUUUCUCCAAAUGAUGGUGGAAUUGUACCUGUAAGCUCAUUAUGAGAAAAGUUAAGCCCCUUCAAUGAUUUAAGCUUACUAAUUACACUUGAAAUCUCUCCUCUGAAAGUGUUGUUUGAGAAAUCAAUAAUUGUGAAGAACGUCAGGAUCUUCUCCAUUUCAAUUUCGAAGCCUUUAAUUGUCACUACCACAGUAUCCUGAUAGUAACCCUCUCCCAUAUAUUUCAGUCCAUGUUCUUGCGAGUUUAUCACAGCCGUCAAGUGUUCAAAAUAUUUUGUUGGCAAGAGACCGCUAAACCGAUUGUUGGAGAGGUCUAUGAUAUGCAAUUUUUGGAAUGGAAACUUAGUUUUUGGAAUGCAUAUUUCACCAUAGAAUUUGUUAGACCUCAAGAUAAGAACCUGCAACUUCGGAAGAGAUUCUAGCCAAUUUGGGAAUGUGUCUUGAAUUUUGUUGUUUGCAAGGUCUAGAACUUCUAACUCUCUACAUGUGAGCAAAGUUGGCGGCAACGACCCUUCCAACUGAUUUUUAUUAAGAUCAAGAUUUCUCAAAACGUUUCCCUCAGAAAAUGUGUCUGGAAUCAUGCCAUAAAAUUUAUUAUUCCGUAGAUUCAAAACAGAGAGUCUCUGACUGAAAUUCCCUAUGCAUUGAUGAAUUUUGCCACUCAAUUUAUUAUUAGACAAAUCAAGGAUUUGAAGGCUACUCAGGCUGCAGAUCGUUGGAGGUAUCUCUCCAGUGAAUUGAUUGUUUGAUAUGAAAAAGUAAUAUGUGGAAGGUGAUGGAAUUGGAAGCUCUCCUUGGAGAGAAUUGUUGCGAAGGUCAAGAUACUGGAGAUUUUUCCACCGAAGCGGUCCUACAGUGCCAGUCAAAGAGUUGUGAGAAAGAUCCAAAUAACUCAAUGAAUCUUUCCACAAAUCCAAUAACCAUUUGGGAAUGUUGGCUUGGAUUCGGUUGUGGGAAAGGGAUAACGUGUCCAACUUUGGUGCGGCCCUUAGAAAGUAUGGGAACUCACUUAUGUUGCAAGACGACAAAUCUAGUAACUCAAGUUGAGGCAAGGUGUUGUUUCUCAAAUGGUUGAAGCUCAAGGAUAAAUGAUUAAAGGAAAGAUUAAGAAUUUGGAGUUUGGAAAACUUUUCAAACUCCACAGUGCCACUCAAGUUAUUGGAUGAUAGAUCAAGCCAUCUAAGGUUCUCAAGUUCAAAGAUUGAUCUUGGAAUCAGGCCAUCCAGCUUGUUAUCAUUUAAAAGAAGCCCUGACAAAGAACGAGAUUGGAACUCAAUGAUAUUACCGCUGAGUUGGUUACUUCUAAGGUUUAACCACUCCAAUGAUGGCAAACUACCUAACCAAGAUGGUAUUGUUCCGUUGAGUUGGUUCUCAUAUAAAUAGAGCUCGGUUAAGUGUCGAGGAAUAGGACCCACCAGUUGUUGUUUUGAAAAAUCAUAUAAAGAAGAGUUCGAUGUCGAGUUGCUAUACACUUCUGGAAACUGACCGACAUAGUUAUUGCCACCGAGAUUUAAGGAAACAAGGCUCUCAAGGUUUAAAAAGAACGACCAUGGGAUUUGGCCACCAAAACUGUUAGACGAGAGGUCCAACCGCAUGAUUUGUGUGAGGUUACCAAGAAAUGCAAGAUAUGAUCCUACAAAACUGCAAUUGCUGAGAGACAAAUCUCUCAAAGACUUGAAAUUUCUUGUCAGAUGAUGCCAAUCUACUGAGAUUCUUGUACGAGAGAGAUCCAGCAUCUCAAGGGGACUGCUCCAGUUAGACUCGGGGAAAUAACCUGUGAGGUUAUAGUUGUGGCCUAAAUCUAGGAGUCGAAGAUUUGGUCGUUGGAAAAUGCUUUCUGGGAAUUUUCCUUGCAAGUUGCACCAGGGAAGUUCAAGAAUUUCCAAAGAAGAAGACAGAUUUUUGAAAGAAUCAGGUAUAACUGAUGACAUAUCAACAGAGGCCAAAUUAAGCUCCCGAAGAUUGGUCAGGUUUUGAACAAUUCUGUUAAAGCUAAGAGUAUCAACAUGUGUCACAACAAGAUAUGAAGAUUGCGAGAGAUUGAGUGAAACCAAGGUGGAAAGGUGGGAAAUUUCGGAAGGUAUUGGGCCACUGAAAUUGGAGUAAGAGAGGUCAAGGUGAGUCAUACUUACAAAGCCACCAAAUUUGGACGAAAUUGGGGAACCUCUGAAAUCAUUAGAAGAGAGGUCUAGCCUCUUGAGAUGGCCGAGAGAGAAUAAGCUGCUAUUGGAAUGGAUAUUGCCUUGAAGCCCACUGAAAUGAAGGUUGAGACUGAUCACACGACUAGUCAUCUUUUCACAAGUGACUCCACUCCAUGUGCAACAAUCCUUGCCUUUCUGCCAAGAAAUUGUACUAUUAGAAUAAAGAGUUGUUCCAUUAUAUAAUUCACGUUUAGAAGAGGUAUCAAUAGAAAAGGAGUUUUUGAAUUGAAGCAAAGCGGAGCUGUCUUCAGGAUGGCAUAAAUGCCCUGAAGAAAGAGAAGAGGAAGAGUUAGCUGAUGAACAAGUAGAGUUGAAUUGACAAGUAGUAGAGAGCAGGAAGAGGAGGCAGAACCAUGACAACCAACCCAUCUUUCUUUAAAAAUCUAAAGUAUAUAGUUAUUGUGAGCAAUUCUAUACUGGAUAUGUUGAUAUUUAUAACAAGCUUAAUGAAUAGUAAUUUAUCAUCUUUAAAGAUAAUCAAGUAUCAUUGUGCCCAUUGUAACGAUUGGGUGUCCUCUUCACAUAGUAGGUCCCAAUUUGAAGUGCUGAUUUCAAGCGUUGAUUUGAUAUUUG